rnacentral:rRNA from 1 species
GGAAAGGCGCGCGAUACAGGGUGACAGCCCCGUACACAAAAAUGCACAUGCUGUGAGCUCGAUGAGUAGGGCGGGACACGUGGUAUCCUGUCUGAAUAUGGGGGGACCAUCCUCCAAGGCUAAAUACUCCUGACUGACCGAUAGUGAACCAGUACCGUGAGGGAAAGGCGAAAAGAACCCCGGCGAGGGGAGUGAAAAAGAACCUGAAACCGUGUACGUACAAGCAGUGGGAGCACGCUUAGGCGUGUGACUGCGUACCUUUUGUAUAAUGGGUCAGCGACUUAUAUUCUGUAGCAAGGUUAACCGAAUAGGGGAGCCGAAGGGAAACCGAGUCUUAACUGGGCGUUAAGUUGCAGGGUAUAGACCCGAAACCCGGUGAUCUAGCCAUGGGCAGGUUGAAGGUUGGGUAACACUAACUGGAGGACCGAACCGACUAAUGUUGAAAAAUUAGCGGAUGACUUGUGGCUGGGGGUGAAAGGCCAAUCAAACCGGGAGAUAGCUGGUUCUCCCCGAAAGCUAUUUAGGUAGCGCCUCGUGAAUUCAUCUCCGGGGGUAGAGCACUGUUUCGGCAAGGGGGUCAUCCCGACUUACCAACCCGAUGCAAACUGCGAAUACCGGAGAAUGUUAUCACGGGAGACACACGGCGGGUGCUAACGUCCGUCGUGAAGAGGGAAACAACCCAGACCGCCAGCUAAGGUCCCAAAGUCAUGGUUAAGUGGGAAACGAUGUGGGAAGGCCCAGACAGCCAGGAUGUUGGCUUAGAAGCAGCCAUCAUUUAAAGAAAGCGUAAUAGCUCACUGGUCGAGUCGGCCUGCGCGGAAGAUGUAACGGGGCUAAACCAUGCACCGAAGCUGCGGCAGCGACGCUGAUGCGUUGUUGGGUAGGGGAGCGUUCUGUAAGCCUGCGAAGGUGUGCUGUGAGGCAUGCUGGAGGUAUCAGAAGUGCGAAUGCUGACAUAAGUAACGAUAAAGCGGGUGAAAAGCCCGCUCGCCGGAAGACCAAGGGUUCCUGUCCAACGUUAAUCGGGGCAGGGUGAGUCGACCCCUAAGGCGAGGCCGAAAGGCGUAGUCGAUGGGAAACAGGUUAAUAUUCCUGUACUUGGUGUUACUGCGAAGGGGGGACGGAGAAGGCUAUGUUGGCCGGGCGACGGUUGUCCCGGUUUAAGCGUGUAGGCUGGUUUUCCAGGCAAAUCCGGAAAAUCAAGGCUGAGGCGUGAUGACGAGGCACUACGGUGCUGAAGCAACAAAUGCCCUGCUUCCAGGAAAAGCCUCUAAGCAUCAGGUAACAUCAAAUCGUACCCCAAACCGACACAGGUGGUCAGGUAGAGAAUACCAAGGCGCUUGAGAGAACUCGGGUGAAGGAACUAGGCAAAAUGGUGCCGUAACUUCGGGAGAAGGCACGCUGAUAUGUAGGUGAAGUCCCUCGCGGAUGGAGCUGAAAUCAGUCGAAGAUACCAGCUGGCUGCAACUGUUUAUUAAAAACACAGCACUGUGCAAACACGAAAGUGGACGUAUACGGUGUGACGCCUGCCCGGUGCCGGAAGGUUAAUUGAUGGGGUUAGCGCAAGCGAAGCUCUUGAUCGAAGCCCCGGUAAACGGCGGCCGUAACUAUAACGGUCCUAAGGUAGCGAAAUUCCUUGUCGGGUAAGUUCCGACCUGCACGAAUGGCGUAAUGAUGGCCAGGCUGUCUCCACCCGAGACUCAGUGAAAUUGAACUCGCUGUGAAGAUGCAGUGUACCCGCGGCAAGACGGAAAGACCCCGUGAACCUUUACUAUAGCUUGACACUGAACAUUGAGCCUUGAUGUGUAGGAUAGGUGGGAGGCUUUGAAGUGUGGACGCCAGUCUGCAUGGAGCCGACCUUGAAAUACCACCCUUUAAUGUUUGAUGUUCUAACGUUGACCCGUAAUCCGGGUUGCGGACAGUGUCUGGUGGGUAGUUUGACUGGGGCGGUCUCCUCCUAAAGAGUAACGGAGGAGCACGAAGGUUGGCUAAUCCUGGUCGGACAUCAGGAGGUUAGUGCAAUGGCAUAAGCCAGCUUGACUGCGAGCGUGACGGCGCGAGCAGGUGCGAAAGCAGGUCAUAGUGAUCCGGUGGUUCUGAAUGGAAGGGCCAUCGCUCAACGGAUAAAAGGUACUCCGGGGAUAACAGGCUGAUACCGCCCAAGAGUUCAUAUCGACGGCGGUGUUUGGCACCUCGAUGUCGGCUCAUCACAUCCUGGGGCUGAAGUAGGUCCCAAGGGUAUGGCUGUUCGCCAUUUAAAGUGGUACGCGAGCUGGGUUUAGAACGUCGUGAGACAGUUCGGUCCCUAUCUGCCGUGGGCGCUGGAGAACUGAGGGGGGCUGCUCCUAGUACGAGAGGACCGGAGUGGACGCAUCACUGGUGUUCGGGUUGUCAUGCCAAUGGCACUGCCCGGUAGCUAAAUGCGGAAGAGAUAAGUGCUGAAAGCAUCUAAGCACGAAACUUGCCCCGAGAUGAGUUCUCCCUGACUCCUUGAGAGUCCUGAAGGAACGUUGAAGACGACGACGUUGAUAGGCCGGGUGUGUAAGCGCAGCGAUGCGUUGAGCUAACCGGUACUAAUGAACCGUGAGGCUUAACCUUACAACGCCGAAG